CGCUCGCUACAGUAGCUUGAGCCUCCCCGCCAGUAAAUUACUGUCUCCUGCUCAGACCCUGACAGCCCCCGCUGCGCUUUGCCCCCUUAAUCCUUUUAAACCCCCCCAAAGAGGAGGCAGCAAAUCCUAGGCAGAAGUAAGGGCAGAGAGAGGGCAGUGGCUACAGCGAAGGGUACUGGGCAUGCUCAGUUCGGUGCGCAUGCUCAGUACACCCAAGUAGGGCAUUGGGAGCGAGAGCUGUGUGUGUCGGUUCACCCCGCUCGCAGGGAAGAGUCCAGAGCAUCUGUCUGCAGGGAGAGAGCCUGCGGGGAAUUGGGCUGUCACAUGCACUCAAGCCCCUUCUGAAACCUUCCCAAUGGCCCCGACAGGCUGAGGAAUCACAUCCAGAUUUCCCUCGAGAUCGUCCCGUGUUCCAGGGGACUGGGAAGGGAAAUGGCUGUGAUGGAGUCAGCUCAGUUGCCGGUGACCUUCGAGGAGGUGGCUGUGUAUUUCACCCAGGGUCAGGGAGCUCUGCUGGACCCCAGUCAGAGAGCCCUCUACAGGGACGUCAUGCAGGAGAACUAUGAGAUGGUGACCUCGCUGGGAUUUCCCAUUCCAAAACCUGAACUGAUCUCCCACUUGGAACGAGGGGAAGAACUGUGGGUCCCGGAUCUCCAGGUCUGUGAGGAAAGAGAGAUCCUGAGAGGCAAUCGCACAGCAGGUGAUGAGACAGUGGAUGAGAAGAAGGAUGGGAAUCAUCAUGAGGAAGUUCCUGGGCAAAUGGAACCACAGGGGACCUUUGUGGGAAGAGCUGAAGGGAUUUUAUCCCAGUGCUUGGAAGAGGGAGAAGCCUGGGGAAAUUGGCACAAGUCAGAGAGGCGACUGAAAAAACACACAAGGAAGAAAGUGGAUGAACCUAUUAUAUGUGGGGGAGGAGACAAGGAUCCCACAGCCCAGCAGACCAAUCCUAAGGAACAGAAACCCUAUCAGUGCCUCGAAUGUGGAAAAGGAUUCAUUCUCAGAUCACAGUUUGUGACACAUCAGACAAUCCAUACUGGAGGGAAACCCCUUCAAUACUUGGCCCAUGGGGAAAGUUUCAAUAACUGCUCAGAUCUUAAUAACCAUGGGAAAAGCCACAUGGGAAAGAAACCCUAUCAAUGCCUUGAGUGUGGAAACUGUUUGAAUUGGAAGUCAGAAUUAAUUACACAUCAGAGAAUCCAGACAGGGGAGAGACCACAUAAGUGCUUGGAUUUUGGAAAAAGUUUCAUACAGAGGUCAGACCUUACUAAACAUCAGGCAAUCCACACAGGAGAGAGACCACAUAAGUGCUUGGACUGUGGAAAAAAUUUCAUACAGAGGUCACACCUUGUUAAACAUCAAGCAAUCCACACAGGAGAGAGACCCCAUAAGUGUUUGAACUGUGAGAAAAGUUUCAGGAACAGAUCAGCCCUUUCUAAACAUCAGGCAAUCCACACAGGAGAGAGACCCCAUAAGUGCUUGGAUUGUGGGAAAAGUUUCAUACAUAGGUCAGACCUUACUAGACAUCAGGCAAUCCACACAGGAGAGAGAGGCAAUAAGUGCUUGGAUUGUGGGAAAAGUUUCAUACAGAGGUCAGACCUUACUAGACAUCAGGCAAUCCACACAGGAGAGAGACCCCAUAAGUGUUUGGACUGUGGGAAAAGUUUCAUAAAGAGGUCAAACCUUGUUAAACAUCAGGCAAUCCACACAGGAGAGAGAUCCCACAAGUGCUUAGUCUGUGGAAAAAAUUUCAUACGGAGGUCACACCUUGUUAAACAUCAGGCAAUCCACACAGGAGAGGGACCCCAUAAGUGCUUGGACUGUGGGAAAAGUUUCAUACAGAGGUCAAACCUUGUUAAACAUCAGGCAAUCCACACAGGAGAGAGACCCCACAAGUGCUUGGACUGUGGGAAAAGUUUCAUACAGAGGUCAAACCUUGUUAAACAUCAGGCAAUCCACACAGGAGAGAGACCCCACAAGUGCUUGGACUGUGGGAAAAAAUUCAUAUGGAGGUCAGACCUUGUUAAACAUCAGGCAAGCCACACAGGAGAGAGACCUCACAAGUGCUUGGACUGUGGGAAAAAAUUCAUAUGGAGGUCAGACCUUGUUAAACAUCAAGCAAUCCACACAGGAGAGAGACCCCACAAGUGCUUGGACUGUGGGAAAAAAUUCAUACGGAGGUCAGACCUUGUUAAACAUCAGGCAAUCCACACAGGAGAGAGACCCCACAAGUGCUUGGACUGUGGGAAAAGUUUCAUACAGAAGUCGGACCUUGUUAAACAUCAGGCAAUCCAUACAGGAGAGAGACCCCAUAAGUGCUUGGACUGUGGGAAAACUUUCAUAACCAGAUCAGCCCGUAUUAAUCAUCAAGCAGUCCACACAGGAGAGAGACGCCACAAGUGUUUGAACUGUGGGAAAAAAUUCAUAUGGAGGUCAGACCUUGUUAAACAUCAGGCAAUCCACACAGGAGAGAGACGCCACAAGUGCUUGGACUGUGGGAAAAGUUUCAUAGAGAGGUCACACCUUAUUAGACAUCAGGCAAUCCACACAGGAGAGAGAUCCCACAAGUGCUUAGACUGUGGGAAAAGUUUCAGGAACAGAUCAGCCCUUUCUAAACAUCAAGCAAUCCACACAGGAGCUAAACUUCUGUGACACUGGGAGAGAAAGGGUUAAGCAACUUGCAUAUAAUAGACCCAGUUCAACCUUUAGAGACAUGUUUAAAAAGUGUGUCCAAGUUAGAUAAUUUUGAGCUUUGAAAUGGAAACUUCUGUUAAAGACCUGGAAGAAGUUGGUAACUGUAGUAGUCUAUAAAAAGCAACAAAGAGUCCUGUGGCACCUUAUAGACUAACAGACGUAUUGGAGCAUAAGCUUUUGUGGGUGAAUACCCACUUUGUCAGACGCAUGUGGUGGAAAUUUCUAGGGGCAGGUAUAAAUAUGCAGGCAACAAUCUGCCUAGAGAUAACGAGGUUAGUUCAAUCAGGGAGGAUGAGGCCAUCUUCCAGCAGUUGAGGUGUGAAAACCAAGGGAGGAGAAACUGCUUUUGUAGUUGCCUAGUCAUUCACAGUCUUUGUUUAAUCCUGAGCUCAUUAUGUCAAAUUUGCAAAUGAACUGAAGUUCAGCAGUUUCUCUUUGGAGUCUGGUCCUGAAGUUUUUUUGAUUCAGGAUCCCCUUUAAAUUUGCUAUUGUGUGUCCAGGGAGGUUGAAAUGUUCUCCUACAGGCUUUUGUAUAUUGCCAUUUCUAAUAUCUGACUUGUGUCCAUUUAUUCUUUUACGUAGGGAUUCUCCAGUUUGGCCGAUGUACAUAGCAGGGGGGCAUUGCUGGCACACGACGGUGUAUGUUACAUUGGUGAACGUACAAGUGAAUGAACCGGUGAUGUUGUGGCUGAUGUGAUUAGGUCCUAUGAUGGUAUCGCUGGUAUAAAUAUGUGGGGAGAGUUGGCAUUGAGGUUUGUUGCAUGGAUUGGUUCCUGAGUUAGAGUUACCAUGGUGCGGUGUGUGGUUGCUGGUGAGAAUAUGCUUAAGGUUGGUGGUUUGUUUGUGGGCGAGGACUGGCCUGUCUCCUAAGGCCUGUGAAACUGAUGGAUCUUUGUCCAGGAUGAGUUGUAGAUGAUGAUGCAUUGGAGAGGUUUUAGAUGAGGAUUGUAGGUGAUGGCCAGUGGAGUUCUGUUGGUUUCUUUCUUGGGCUUGUCUUGCAGCAGGAGGCUUCUGGGUACACGUCUGGCUCUGUUGAUUUGUUUCUUUAUUUCCUCGUGCUGGUAUCAUAGUUUUGAGAAUGCUUGGUGAAGAUCUUGUAGGUGUUGGUCUGUGUCUGAUGGGUUGGAGCAAAUGCGGUUAUAGCUCAGCGCUUGUCUGUAGAUGCUGGAUCAUGUGGUGUGUCCGGGAUGAAAGUUGGAGGCAUGAAGGUAGGCAUAGCGGUCGGUGGGGUGUGAUGGUGUUAACGUAACUGUCACUUAUUUGUACCGUGGUGUCUAGGAAGUGGAUCUCCCUUGUAGAUUGGUCCAGGCUGAGGUUGAUGGUGGGGUGGAAACUGUUGAAGUCAUGCUCCAAUACUUCUCUUAGUGUUUAAGGUGCCACAGGACUCUUUGUCACUUUUUACAGAUCCAGAUUAACACGGUGACCCCUCUGAUACUUGUAGUAGUCUAUGUUUGCCUUUAUCUUGUUAGAAGUUACCAAUGGAACCAAACAGUUCCUGUCUCGGGCUGUAUUCUGUUAAUUCAGAGAUCAAAAGGGAAUAAUAACAUUUAGAUGAAACUUGGGUGUAAUAAUGUCAUUGCAUGUCUCUUUCGAGUUUGUGGUAAACUGUCUAUGAAUUUCUUUAUGGAUAAUUACCUUAUGUUAAUCCAUGUAGUUAAUUACUGGUGAUGUUUAGGAAAUAGAAGGUUACUUCAAAAGCCUAGUGAACAAUAGUUCUCCCAAGGACAGCCUGCUGAUGAGAGGCUGCAAAAAUCUGUAUUAAAAACUCUUGGGACCUGAUCCUUUUCUCUCAGAUCUUGUUAAGCUUUAUUCAGAGGAAGUUUGAGUCAUAAGAUGGAGAUCUCCAGUCCCAUCUGGACUGCCCUGAUAUCGAACAUUUUCACAUGGGACUAUAACCUCAUGAAAGGAUUCUGAAAAGGACUCUUUACAAUUCUAAAGCACCAUCUCUACAGUGAAACUGACCUAAGGACUCUAUUCAUGUCUGUACUAAUGCGGAGAGUGGACUGGAUGAUACAUCUGAGGGAAGGGAGCAGAAGGAGGCUCCACUGAUUGGAAGACAUGAGAUGCACUAUCCUAGGGAUGGGGGUUACAAAACCACCGCUCCCAAGAGAAGGAAGAGGGUGGUGGCGGUCGGGGACUCCCUUCUCAGGGGGACUGAGUCAUCUAUCUGCCACCCCGACCGAGAAAACCGAGAGGUCUGCUGCUUGCCAGGAGCUAGGAUUCAUGAUGUGACGGGAGAGACUGCCGAGACUCAUCAAGCCCUCGGAUCGCUACCCCUUCCUGCUUCUCCACGUGGGUAGCAAUGAUCCUGCCAAGAAUGACCUUGAGCGGAUGACUACAGACUGCAUGGCUCUGGGAAGAAGGAUAAAGGAGUUUGAGGCGCAACUGCUGUUCUCGUCCAUCCUCCCUGUGCAGGGAAAAGGCCUGGAUAGAGACCACUGAAUUGUGGAAGUUAACAAAUGGCUACGCAGCUGGUGUCGGAGAGAAGGCUUUGAGUUCUUCGACUGUGGGAUGGUGUUCUAAGAAGAAGGAGUGCUAGGCAGAGACGGGCUCCAUCUAACGAAGAGAGGGAAGAGCAUCUUCGCAAGCAGGCUGGCUAACCUAGUGAGGAGGGUUUUAAACUAGAUUCACUGAGGGAAGGAGACCAAAGCCCUGAGGUAAAUUGGGAAAUAGGAUACGGGGAGGAAGCACGAGCAGGAGAGUGCAAGAGGGGAGGACUCCUGUCUCAGAUUGAGAAAGCGGGACAAUCAGUGAGUUCUCUUAAGUGCCUAUACACAAAUGCAAGAAGCCUGGGAAACAAGGAGGGAGAACUGGAAAUCCUGGCACAGUCAAGGAACUAUGAUGUCAUUGGAAUAAUAGAGACUUGGUGGGAUAACUCACAUGACUGGAAUACUGUCAUGGAUGGAUAUAAACUGUUCAGGAAGGACAGACAGGGCAGAAAAGGUGGGGGAGUUGCAUUCUAUGUAAGAGAGGAAUAUGACUGCUCAGAGCUCCGGUAUGAAACUGGAGAAAAACCUGAGAGUCUCUGUAUUAAGUUUAGUAGUGUGAGCAACAAGGGUGAUCUCGUGGUCGGAGUCUGCUAUAGACCACCAGACCAUGGGGAUGAGGUGGACGAGGCUUUCUUCCAGCAACUAGCAGAUGUUUACUAGAUCGCAGGCCCUGGUUCUCAUGGGAGACUUUAAUCACCCUGAUAUCUGCUGGGAGAGCAAUACAGCGGUGCACAGACAAUCCAGGAAGUUUUUGGAAAGUGUAGGGGACAAUUUCCUGGUGCAAGUGCUGGAGGAACCAACUAGGGGCAGAGCUCUUCUAGAACUGCUGCUCACAAACCGGGAAGAAUUAGUAGGGGAAACAAAAGUGGAUGGGAAUCUGGGAGGCAGUGACCAUGACAUGGUUGAGUUCAGGAUCCUGACACAAGGAAGAAAGGAGAGCAGCAGAGUACAGACCCUGGACUUCAGAAAAGCAGACUUUGACUCCCUCAGGGAACUGAUGGGCAGGAUCCCCUGGGAGAAUAACAUGAGGGGGAAAGGAGUCCAGGAGAGCUGGCUGUGUUUUAAAGAAUCCUUAUUGAGGUUGCAGGAAAAAACCAUCCCGAUCUGUAGAAAGAAUAGUAAAUAUGGCAGGCAGCUUGGCUUAAUAGUGAAAUCCUUGCUGCUCUUAAAUGUAAAAAAGAAGCUUACAAGAAGUGGAAGAUUGGACAAAUGACCAGGGAGGAGUAUAAAAAUAUUGCUCAGGCAUGCAGGAGUGAAAUGAGGAAGGCCAAAUCACACUUGGAGUUGCAGCUAGCAAGAGAUGUUAAGAAUAACUCAAGGAAAGUGUGGGCCCCUUACUAAAUGAGGGAGGCAACUUAGUGACAGAGGAUGUGGAAAAAGCUAAUGUACUCAAUCAUUUUUUUUGCCUCUGUCUUCACAAAAAAGGACAGCUCCCAGACUGCUGCACUGGGCAGCACAGUAUGGGGAGAAGAUGACCAGCCCUCUGUGGAGAAAGAAGUGGUUCGGGACUAUUUAGAAAAACUGGACAAGCACGAGUCCAUGGUGCCGGAUGCGCUGUAUCCGAGGGUACUAAAGGAGUUGACGGAUGUGAUUGCAGAGCCAUUGGCCAUUAUCUUUGAAAACUCAUGGUGAUCGGGGGAGGUCCCAGAUGACUGGAAAAAGGCUAAUGUAGUUCCCAUCUUUUAAAAAGGGAAGGAGGGAGGAUCCGGGGAGCUACAGGCCAGUCAGCCUCACCUCAGUCCCUGGAAAUAUCAUGGAACAGGUCCACAAGGAAUCAAUUCUGAACCUCUUAGAGGAGAGGAAAGUGAUCAGGAACAGUCAGCAUGGAUUCACCAAGGGCAAGUCAUGCCUGAUUAACCUAAUUGCCUUCUAUGAGGAGAUAACUGGCUCUGUGGAUGAGGGGAAAGCUGUGGAUGUGUUAUUCCUUGACUUUAGCAAACCUUUUGAUACAGUCUCCCACAGUAUUCUUGCCAGCAAGUUAAACAAGUAUGGGCUGGAUGAAUGGACUGUAAGGUGGAUAGAAAGCUGGCUAGAUAGUCGGGCUCAACGGGUAGUGAUCAACGGCUCCAUGUCUAGUUGGCAGCCGGUUUCAAGUGGAGUGCCCCAGGCGUCGGUCCUGGGGCUGGUUUUGUUCAAUAUCUUCAUUAAUGAUCUGGAGGAUGGCGUGGGAUAGGAGAGGGGAUUUGAUAGCUGCUUUCAACUACCUGAAAGCGGGUUCCAAAGAGGAUGGAUCCAGACUGUUCUCAGUGGUACCUGAUGACAGAACAAGGAGUAAUGGUCUCAAGUUGCAGUGGGGGAGGUUUAGGUUGGAUAUUAGGAAAAACUUUUCAUUAGGAGGAUGAUGAAGUACUGGAAUGGGUUACCUAGGGAGAUGGUGGAAUCUCCUUCCUUAGAGGUUUUUAAGGUCAGGCUUGACAAAGCCCUGGUUGGGAUAAUUUAUUUAGGAUUUGGUCCUGCUUUGAGCAGGGUGUUGGGCUAGAAGACCUCCUGAGAUCCCUUCCAAACCUGAUAUUCUAUGAUUCUAUGAUCCUUUGGGAUUGGUAGAACUUUUUAUAAAAUGAACAAUGUUUUCAGUAAUCCCCAUCAUGUUUAACUGGGGUGUCUGGGAGGGAGCGCCAGGUUAGGUUGCUUCAAGGGAGCUGUGCUUUGGCCUGUGUAGCCCAGUAAGGUAUUGUAAAAGCUGUCUUGUUGCUGGCUUGGUGAAUCAAAAUGUUGGAAUGUCCACCAAUUUUGAGGAUUGACUGCCCCAUUCUUUGCAGUUUGCCUUAAAUGAGCAAUCUCAGUAUGCCCCCAGCCCCCAAGAUCAUGGUCACAACUUCAUAUAUGCCUUGCCUGUGAGAAAAGUUUCAUUCAGCGAUUGCACCUCAUUAAACAUCAGAGAAUCCACCCAGGUGUGAGAGACCCUAGGAAUAGCUUGACUGCAGGAAAAGAUUCAAUCCGAACUCACACAUCCGUGAACUGCAAAACAGAGAGACCUUGAAUGCCGGGGAAGCUUCAUUUGGUGUUCCCAGAGUAUCAGGCAUCUGCAAAUCAACGCAGAGAAGUGACUGCUGAGAUGUUCUCAGUGUGGGAAAUGCUCCAAGUGGAGCAAACGCCCUGUUGGACAUUACAGACUCCUCCUCACAGCAGGGAAAUUCUCUCAGGGCCCUGACUAGGGCUGGCCCUGGUGACAAACCCGUUUCCUCAUUCCCACACACAUCAGGGGCAUUUGGCUCCCAAGGAUGCAGCUGCCCAUGGCUGGGGUGAGGAUCCAGGAUCAGCCGAACAUCAGCUGGUCAGUGACCCUCUGGCUCUGCCUAGUCUAAGCAAACACCAGGAAGAGGUGGCAAAAUCCCCAUGAGCCCCUCCUCCCUGCUUCAGCCUUGGCUGCUGAGCUGAUGGGCCAUAGAUGGGGAAAGGGGGAGAGAGAAACACCUCCCCACACUCCCUCUGCUGGGCGGAAGUUCCCCCUCUCCCUUCCCCUCCCAGCCGGGAUCCCCCUGCUAUGGCGAUGAGGAGAAGAACACUUGGGCCAGGUCCCACCUUCACUCUAGACUCCUGUCCCCAUCCCCCAUCUUCCACCAGCCCCUGGGCUGGGCUCCCCCACUGAUCUGGAACUGUCCCCUGCAGAGGGAGUGUCCCUGGGGCUGGUAGCUCCUUCGCUCCCCGAAUCCACCAAGAAAUUGGUCUCUGGGGGAUCAAAUGUUAAGGGUGUGGGGUGAUGGGUUCUGGGGAGGACACUGGGGAUUGAAUAACUGGGGCUGUUGGAGCUUAGUGCUGGGGUAUCAAGUGUUUGGGGAUCAUGGGAUAAGAGGCGAGCGAGAGCCAAAGGGGUAGCGAGGUGCUGCUUCUCAUCACUCACCCCCUCUGCCCCUUCUCCCUGCCUCCUCUGCAUUCAGACAGCACCAUUAUCAGAGCCUGGUUUCCACAGGGCCUUUUCUUCUAAGCCUGGAUUUCCCACCUCUGCUACAGCAGCAUCAGCCUCUGAGAAGGAAGCAGCAUUGCCUAGUUGAUAGAGCUCUGGCCUGGGACUCAGGAGUCUACUAGGAAUAAAUGGGGAGUGAUCAUAUCAGCCUCUUAGUGUCUGUCAAGGGGAGGAAAAUUGGUUGAGAUUAUCUAGGGCAUCUCCUUUGUUCCUCCACUCCUUUUUCUAGUCUAAACUGACCCUUAGCAGUUUAUUCCCAUCUCUCAUUAGCAAAGUGAUUGUUCGAGUCACUAAGUGCCCUCUAUGGAGUGAGAUUGUCUCAUUCCCAGACAUCCUCACAUUGCUCCAGAUUAUGCUGAAAAGCAUUGAAUUAUUUUGUGUUGUUUCUCCCUUAUACACCAGCAUUCAAGAGAUUCUAAAAGAGCUGGAGCAGGGAUAGUAAAAUUAUGUGGUGUUUUACCUUCUGUGUUAUUGCAGAGGGAUGGGUUGAGUCUGGGGGAUUCCUUCCUGUCCCCAUCAAACUCACACAUCUUUUCUUGAGCAGCCUCUGCCCAAGCCAUGGAGAGUUUAUCGUUUUCCCAUUCUACCCCUCCACCUUCAUGUGUGUCAUUUACCACAGUGUCCUUUUCCACCAUGCUUAGGAAUCAGGGUUUGAUUUCUUUGAUCCUCAGUCAGGCCCCUGCGCACUUGAGAUGAAAGUGUCACGUUCCUGAAGGGGGAAUUCAAAUGAACCCCAAAGCACAGUUUGAGCUUCAAUCCCUAUUGCUAAAGUGGCAUCUGGAGUUUUUCCAGCCAAAUCCAGAUAAUUUGUAGAUAGGAAGUUGUUGGUGAAGUUUGUCUUUUUUCCUCUUUUUUUUCCCAUUACGACGAUGCAAAAACUUUUAUCAAUAACACAGCCAAAUAAUGCGACAGUGCUGAGUAAAGCCGGUUUAGCCUGUUCAGAAGGAAAUGGGUAAAAUUUUUCUCCAGAUUUUGAGUCUUAAGAUUCUCUGGGAUUUCACUUCAUGAACGGGAAAAUGGUUUGUAGCCCACCCUGGUUUGUGGGUUUUUUCUUCUUUUUGGUUGAAGGCUGUUCUGCCACGUAUUUUGAUAUUAAAUUAGUUUGACAGGAUGUAACUCAGAUUUAUUGGGGACUUCAAAAGACAAAUGAUCACUUGCCAGAAGGAUCCUUUCUGAUUUUCCUUUCACAUUGCCUUAGCUUUUGUCAUGAGAUUUUCUUGUCCUUUGAACAACGAAAAUGAUCAGUAUCUAUCCACAAAAACAUUUGCGGACGAGUGCUGGAUAUGCACUCUGGGAAUCAGAGACUGAAAUGGAGAAGGAAGUUACUGCCUGAUCCCUGCAGAGAUCUGAGAUACAAUCAGGAUGGGGAGAGAGUGGGUGGGUGGACAGGGCCUUGCAAGGGCACUAUGACAUUAUCUGAUUAAAAUAUGACCAUGUAGAUCAUUGUUGCUACCAUUGUUAUAUAAUCAGUGAAUCUUAUACAAAGUGUGCGGAGUAAGGUGUCAAGGGAGAGGGUAUGAUUUGCUGAAUAUGAUUAUGCUAUUUGUACAUAUGUACCAUUUUUGUAUUUGAGAUUAUGAUUACUGGCUGUAUACCUGUAUUUCAAAAAUGUUUGCUCCUGGGUAACACCCACAAGGUUUUUCACCUGUACAUCUUGGAGGAACUAUUCAAGUUCAGUGGCCCAUCAAAAGAAUACUCACAAUGGCAGAUGCCCACCUACGCUGCACAGACUUUCCUGUGAAUGUUCCAUCUGAAGUAUAGGUAAUGGCUUUUACUGUGAGUGACUAAGUGAAAGCAGGCAUGGACACGUGACUUGCCCAUGUGACUCCAAAUACCUCUUAUUACUGUGGUUUUUCACAGUGAGAACAAUGGGGUUCCCUUCACUUGAGAGAAGCUAUAAAAGGCACUGGAAACAUCUCCGUUUUGCCUUUUUCCUGCUCAAACCUCUGGACUAUGGACUUAUACUAAUGGGAGCAUUCUGACCAAAGGACUGAGGACUUUCCAAUAAUUCAGAAGCCACCAGAGACUUGAUUUAAGCUGGCCGUUUAUUCCAUCACUGUUACAAGCCUAAGCCAAGAACUUUGCAAUUAUUGUAUGUAUUUGAUUCCUUUAAUAAAUUUUAACUCUCA